CAAGACAUGCGGCGGAGAUUACGGAGAGGAUAGAUUCAUCCCGUAAUCAUCUGAGCUGGAGCUGGAUUCAAAUCUGCGGUAGUUGACGCAGCUUUUGUGGCAAUUUGCUCCAUGAGGUUCACAGAAUAAGGUGCACUGUUCUAGAUAAGUAGGGCCAUCAUACUGAGGACAUCCUUUAGCAUGGACAAUCCCGGGAAUGCAGAGAGAUCUGCAUUGGGAUGGUGGAUGAGUGAUGAUGGGCUCAGAUUGUGAAAUGACUCGUGAUGACUGGCCUUGUUCUGGUGGAGUCUGAAACUCUUGGAGGAGUUGACUGAGCGGUAAAAAGUCAUCCUCAGGAUCCUGAGAAUCCUGGUAGUAAAUCUGUGGAGGAGUAUCUGGACGUUCUU
rnacentral:lncRNA from 1 species